AGCUCCAAUCGCGUAUGUCAAAGUUGUUGCCCAUAAAAAACUCGUAGUUGGAUUUCUGCUGAGGACGAUCUGUCCGCCCUCUGGGUGAGUAUCUGGCUCGGUCUUGGCAUCUUUCUGGAGAACGUAGCUGCACUUGACUGUGUGGCGCGGUAUCCGGCACUUUCACUUUGAGGAAAUUAUGUUUCAAGCAUGCGCACGCCUCGAGUACAUUAACAUGCAAUAAUAAGAUAGGACCACGGUCAUAUUUUGUUGGUUUCUAGAGCUGAAGUGAUGAUUAAUCGGGAUAGUUGGGGCAUUCGCAUUUCACGGUCGGAGGUGAAAUUCUCAGAUUUGUUACAGACGGACUACUGCGAAAGCAUUUGCCAAGGAUGUUUUCA
rnacentral:rRNA from 1 species